rnacentral:rRNA from 1 species
AUUGAACGCUGGCGGAAUGCUUUACACAUGCAAGUCGAACGGCAGCACGGGAGCUUGCUCCUGGUGGCGAGUGGCGAACGGGUGAGUAAUAUAUCGGAACGUAUCCAAUAAUGGGGGAUAACUAGUCGAAAGAUUAGCUAAUACCGCAUACGCCCUGAGGGGGAAAGCUGGGGAUCUUCGGACCUAGCGUUAAUGGAGCGGCCGAUAUCUGAUUAGCUAGUAGGUGAGGUAAAGGCUCACCUAGGCAUCGAUCAGUAGCUGGUCUGAGAGGACGACCAGCCACACUGGAACUGAGACACGGUCCAGACUCCUACGGGAGGCAGCAGUGGGGAAUUUUGGACAAUGGGCGCAAGCCUGAUCCAGCCAAUCCGCGUGAGUGAAGAAGGCCU